UACGGAGGGGGCUAGCGUUGUUCGGAAUUACUGGGCGUAAAGCGCACGUAGGCGGCUUUGUAAGUUAGAGGUGAAAGCCCGGAGCUCAACUCCGGAAUUGCCUUUAAGACUGCAUCGCUUGAACAUCGGAGAGGUGAGUGGAAUUCCGAGUGUAGAGGUGAAAUUCGUAGAUAUUCGGAAGAACACCAGUGGCGAAGGCGACUCACUGGACGAUUGUUGACGCUGAGGUGCGAAAGCGUGGGGAGCAAACAGG
rnacentral:rRNA from 1 species